CGGAGGAUGCGAGCGUUAUCCGGAUUUAUUGGGUUUAAAGGGUGCGUAGGUGGUGAUUUAAGUCAGCGGUGAAAGUUUGUGGCUCAACCAUAAAAUUGCCGUUGAAACUGGGUUACUUGAGUGUGUUUGAGGUAGGCGGAAUGCGUGGUGUAGCGGUGAAAUGCAUAGAUAUCACGCAGAACUCCGAUUGCGAAGGCAGCUUACUAAACCAUAACUGACACUGAAGCACGAAAGCGUGGGGGAUCAAACAGGAUU
rnacentral:rRNA from 1 species